rnacentral:lncRNA from 1 species
AUGAACCAAGGAAAGCAUCAUGAAUCUGCAAGAGAACAGAGAGGCCCAGAGGAGACGUCCUGCCCAGGAGAGCAGCACAGAUUCCCCAGAGAUGGAAGAGAUCUUGAAAAACCAACUAAUUCAUCCCUCUGUCCCCAAGCUUUACUGUGUUCAGAUUGGUCCAAGCCAAGACAGUCCUGCCCUGAAGAUUUGGAAAACAUAUAAGGAUGCUUGGUAGUGGAGGGCAAGUCUACAAUUUAAUUCAAUAAAUUUACUAAGUAUCUGCUUCA